GGCCAUGCAGCCCGGAAAACUCAGGGCAACCCAGUGGCUCCAGCCAUGCCUUGGACAAGACAUCAUUGCUAUUGUGUGAUCACUUUCGGGCGAGGUUUGUUUAUGAAGCGGGGUUGCCAUUGCCUUCCUCUGAGGCUGAGAGAGUGCGACUCGCCCAGGGCUAUUUAUUUAUACUGGCUUUCAAAGGCUGAGGGAAAGAGAGGAGUGAAAGAGGCGCGUCUCGUCUCUGGGGAGAGCCACCCGAGAAGCACCCCACGGCCCUCCUCCUUUCCGUCUCUCCCUCUUCCCGCCUCUCCGCGGUUCAAGCAUUCCUCCCGCCCACUUUCACGCCUCCUCGCCCUCAAAUCUCGCGAGACCCUGCAAAGAAGGGCGGGAUCUUUGGGCGGGAGCGUCAAACGGUUGAAGAAAGCGGCGCGAAGGGAAGGUCUGCCUUGGUGUCUGUGGCGCUCAGGUUGGCAGGAGUUGGAGCUAACAGCGGGCGCUCAAGCAGCUCUCAGGAUUUGAACCUGGCACAUUUCAGUCUGCAAGUUCAGUAGCUCAGCGCUUUAACGCACUUCACCUCCGGGGCUCCUUUGGGAGAACAAAAACAAAGUAGUAAAGAAUGGCGAGAUCAAAAGGGGAUUUCCGGUUUGGCAGCCAGACGAUGAGCAGCAGCAUCCUAGGGCUCUAGGAAUGCGACUCGAAGAUUCGAUCUUGGGAGGGUGUGUGUAAUCCCCUCCCCCCCUAUAGCGGACAUUUGCAUGUUUUUGAACAGCUAGGUUGGCAGAAGCUGGGGCUAACCCCGUUCCCUGGAUUCGAACCACCAACCUUUCGGUCAGUCAGUUCAGCAGCUCAGUGAUUUAAUCCGCUGCGCCACUGGGCGCAUCCCUCCCCCUAUUUCCCAAUCCCAACUCACGUUAGAUGUUUUCAAGGUCCUCGAUUUCCAGAGGUGGUUCAGUAAGGGAAACAAAUAUAUAUAUAUAUUAGAACUUAACACUCAAAGACUCCCCCAGCCCAAAAAAAGGCCCAACCCACACCCAAAAAGUGAGAAGUUACCUCAAUCCCUGAGACGGCUGUCUCCAAAGUGCGUCGUCUCCUCCCCUGAUCAGAGUGCACUGUCAAAGAAAGAGAAGAGCAAAGUGAUUAUUGAUAAACCUCCUCUGAAAACCUGACCUCCCCUUCCCCUUUGCAGCAAGACAGUACACCUGCCUUUCACUCCUUACCCAGGUGUCAUACUUCUCGACUUGAAUGGGGCCCUGCCUCCUUCCAUCCCGGCUCCGCUUCAGAGAUUCCAUCCAUAAGCGCUGUGAAAGAAAGAGAUGAGACUUUGUUGAAAUUCUGAUCCCAUCUUCACAGAAGUACAAUUCUCCUGCCUUUCCCUCCUUACCCAACUGUCACAUGUUGUUAUUGUGGAGGAGGUGAAGUGCUGCGUCUCAACUGGAGCACUAGAGAAGAAGAGAAAAAAGCAAAACAUGGGCAGUAGAUUAAAACACAAAUCAUUGGCACCAAUAUGUGCAGUCCCUUACCGCAUUUCUGGAUGGUAUCAGCCAGGAUGGGAGGAGGGAGGUCCUCAUUCAAGUAGAAUUCUUCAUUCAUGGGCACCCUGACCAGGGGAAAAGGAGGAAGAUCUGCCAUUCUGGAUGCACAAUGGAGACAGCCGUCUCAGCAAGAGGAUAUGGAGAGAGAUGGCUGUCUCCAAAGUGCGUCGUUUCCUCCCCUGGCCAGAGUGCACUGUUAAAGAAAGAGAAGAGCAAAGUGACUAUUGAUAAACUUCCUCUGAAACCCUGACCUCCCCUUCCCCUUUGCAGAAAGGCAGUACACCUCCUUUGGCUCCUUACCCAGGUGUCAUACUUCUCGACUUGAAUGGGGCCCUGCCUCCAUCCACACCAGCUCCGCUGAGAUGAUGAUGCUGUGAAAGAAAGAGAUUAGACUUUGUUGAAAUUCUGAUCCCCUCUUUACAGAAGUUCAAUUCUCCUGCCUUUUCUGCCUUUCCCUCCUUACCCAACUGUCCCAACUGGUGAUUGUGGAGGAGGUGGAUUGCAGGGUUUCAAGUGGAGCAUUAGAGAAGAAGAGAAAAAAGCAAAACGUUAGCACCAGAACCCUGUGUAGCUAUUUUGAAGAGGAUCAAGGGUUACAACAGGAAAGCACCAGUGAAGGAAAAAAAACAAUCCAAAGAGAAGGAGGAAGGGCUUACUUUAACGGAUAGACUUUAAUACUUCUACAACAAGGAAAAAAGCUCCUGCAGGUCUUCCUGAGGUUUUGCAAAGAAGAAAGGAGAACAAAGUCAGAGGGAGAAAGGAGUUGUCUUGAGAGAGGGGCUGUUUUAGGGCCACUGCUCUUCCCGUCCCCAAAUCUGGGCCGUUCCUCCCACCCAAUAUCACUUUGAAAAGGGGGGAAGAGCAGCAUCCCUGACUUCCCCUCCUGGUGAUCUAGUACAAACAAACAAGCCAUAGGCAUUCAGUCCAACCCCUUCAGUCAGGCAGGAAGACAUCAUCCAAACCCUCCUAACACAUGGCCAUCCAGCCUCAAUAACAACAACAGUAAUACAGGAAGGGACCCCUAAAAGAGAUGUAGUCUAUCCCCUUCCUGCCGUCAUGCAGGAAAACCACAAUAAAAACCUCAACAGAUGGCCAUCCAGCCCCAAUAAUAAUAAUGGAAGGGACCCCCUAAAGGAGAUAUAGCCCAACCCCUUCAUGCCCAUGCCGCCUUCCACCCCACCCAAGCACUUACUUUGAUGAGGUUUUUUAACGGCAUCUUCAGACAGGUGACAGAAAGACAAGAUAGCAAAAAAAAAAAGCAAAUCUGACUUUUGCUACUGCUGCUACAGAAUGGGCAGUAUGGGUCUGGUUUGGAACUGCAUUCUCAUGGCAAUGGUGUAAACAAAGGAGCCCCAGCCUCCAGGUCCUUUAAUUCAUAUAUAGGGUAGUGUCUCCACCAAAUUUGAAACCAGUAUUAACAAAUUAAAGAGCAAGUAGAAGAAAAAAAGAGUCCAACACAUUAUACAUGGCCUCCAAAAUCAAGACCAGAAGACCUCUUGGACAUCUACCCAUUUGUAGGACAAUAUUAAAGGGAUGCCACAUCCCCUGUCUGGGAAGCAUCUUUCAGAGCCCAAGAACAGAUGCUGGGCGGGGUUUGUCCCAUGUUUCCACCAAAUGGGCACAUCAGUUACAAGUACAGGUUUAGUUAUAUCACGCAAAAGUGAAUGGAACGGUCCAAUCUACAGUUGGCUGUGUUGGGCAAACUAACGGUUGUCCAAGGCCACCUUUCACCUAUGUUUUUGUUCUUGUUUUGGGCCAUUCCAGUAUCAAUCCUGGAGACAAAAUUUGCAAAAUGCCAAAAACUCACAGAAAUGUUGGUAAAAGGAAUAUAUCUGUAAGCUUCUACAUUUUUAGUCUCGCAUCAUGGGGAGUUUGAACCCUUUUCAAUUUAAACAAUAUUACAAUACCUUUGAAUUGGUUCAGAAGGUUUAGUUUGGAAAUUCCAAUUAAUUCAAAAGAAGGCAGCAAGACUAGUGAUAGGAACAUCUAGGAGUGAUUCCAUUGGUUGCCCAUCUCUUUUGGAAAGCCUACUCAGUCUGUUUUAAUUAUGGCUUUUACAUCAUAUUCUGUGUUUCUGUAUUUUAACAGAACGCGCCAAUCUGCAUAUUUAUAAGUAUAUUUUUAUGAAUGUCUAAUGUAAUUAAUUUUAAUUGAAUUGCAAUGUAUUGUAUUAUUUUUAUAUAUGUGCUUUUAUUGUAAGCCACCCUGUGUCCCCUCUUGGAUGAGAAGGGCGGGAUACAAAUGCUAUGCUAUAAUAAAUAAAUAAAUAAAUUUAA